CUGGGUGCAGCCACAGCUGUGAAAUACAGCGCAGUCGAUCCCAGUGGUCAGGCAGCCGUCACACAUAUUACAUGUAAUAUUAAAGAUAUGUAGCCUCCCCUGCCAGGCACAACGGCCGGGGACAGCGUCAGUAACUCCGGGCAUCGGGUUGCCGUGGUUACCGCCGCCUCCCGAUGACGUCAUUCUUCAGGCGCCCCGUCCUGACCGGAAGUUCCAUGCUGCUCCUGGAUCGAGAAUGCGGGCAUGGGGACGCUAUAUAGGCAUCUUCCGGACGAUCGGAUCUCCUACAUGAAUAGUGAAUACCGACUGAAGACGCCAUCUGCCUCAGAGGAUACAGUUCUUCAGAGGUUCCAUAUUGUGAGAAACCAUCACACAGGCUCAUUGUACCAGGGUCUCUGUGGGGUGUUCAUUUACAGAUUAGUGAU